GGGCCUAUAGCUCAGCUGGUAGAGCAUCCGGCUCAUAACCGGAUGGUUGGGGGUUCAACUCCCUCUGGGCCCACCA
rnacentral:tRNA from 1 species